GUCCAUGACCGUGCCAUCCCGAAUGUGCCCGACCCCAUCUGAUCUGGGAAGCUAAGCAGAGUCGGGCCUGGUUAAUACUUGGAUGGGAGACCACCUACAAAUACCAGGUGCUGUAGGCA
rnacentral:rRNA from 1 species